UACGAAGGGGGCGAGCGUUGUUCGGAUUCAUUGGGCGUAAAGGGUGCGUAGGCGGCGCGGUAAGUCGGGUGUGAAAUCUCGGGGCUUAACUCCGAAACUGCAUUCGAUACUGCCGUGCUUGAGGACUGGAGAGGAGACUGGAAUUUACGGUGUAGCGGUGAAAUGCGUAGAUAUCGUAAGGAAGACCAGUGGCGAAGGCGGGUCUCUGGACAGUUCCUGACGCUGAGGCACGAAGGUCAGGGGAGCAAACGGG
rnacentral:rRNA from 1 species